rnacentral:misc_RNA from 1 species
GAUGAAGAACGCAGCGAAAUGCGAUAAGUAAUGUGAAUUGCAGAAUUCAGUGAAUCAUCGAAUCUUUGAACGCACAUUGCGCCCCCUGGUAUUCCGGGGGGCAUGCCUGUCCGAGCGUCAUUACAACCCUCAAGCUCAGCUUGGUGUUGGGCCCCGCCGCCCCGGCGGGCCCUAAAGUCAGUGGCGGUGCCGUCCGGCUCCGAGCGUAGUAAUUCUUCUGGCUCUGGAGGUCCGGUCGUGUGCUCGCCAGCAACCCCCAAUUUUUUUCAGGUUGACCUCGGAUCAGGUAGGGAUACCCGCUGAACUUAAGCAUAUCAAUAAGCGGAGGA